CUUGCUUCUCUUGAGAGCGGCGGACGGGUGAGUAAUGCCUAGGAAUCUGCCUGGUAGUGGGGGAUAACGUCCGGAAACGGACGCUAAUACCGCAUACGUCCUACGGGAGAAAGCAGGGGACCUUCGGGCCUUGCGCUAUCAGAUGAGCCUAGGUCGGAUUAGCUAGUUGGUGGGGUAAUGGCUCACCAAGGCGACGAUCCGUAACUGGUCUGAGAGGAUGAUCAGUCACACUGGAACUGAGACACGGUCCAGACUCCUACGGGAGGCAGCAGUGGGGAAUAUUGGACAAUGGGCGAAAGCCUGAUCCAGCCAUGCCGCGUGUGUGAAGAAGGUCUUCGGAUUGUAAAGCACUUUAAGUUGGGAGGAAGGGCAGUAAAUUAAUACUUUGCUGUUUUGACGUUACCGACAGAAUAAGCACCGGCUAACUCUGUGCCAGCAGCCGCGGUAAUACAGAGGGUGCAAGCGUUAAUCGGAAUUACUGGGCGUAAAGCGCGCGUAGGUGGUUCGUUAAGUUGGAUGUGAAAUCCCCGGGCUCAACCUGGGAACUGCAUUCAAAACUGACGAGCUAGAGUAUGGUAGAGGGUGGUGGAAUUUCCUGUGUAGCGGUGAAAUGCGUAGAUAUAGGAAGGAACACCAGUGGCGAAAGCGACCACCUGGACUGAUACUGACACUGAGGUGCGAAAGCGUGGGGAGCAAACAGGAUUAGAUACCC
rnacentral:rRNA from 1 species